GCCCAUUCCUCUGCUGGAUCCAGUGGUUUUCCACCAUAACCCACUUAGAUUUAGCCCACCUACUUUUGAGAAUUUCAAUACUAUAAUUUUAUUGAUUUUGAAUGUAAUCAGCAGUAAAACUGUAAUUUCAGGCAGCUCAAAUCAUUCCUCAGCAGAAAAAGAUUGGAAAACACCGUGAAGAAUAUCUACUUCUGGCUUUAGAGAGAGAAUUCCACUGAAAGAGACGAGAGAGACGAGAAAUGAGCGAGAUCUGUAGCGAGAGAGUAUUCCGGCUCCUGGCAUUCUUUGCUUCGAUUGCUCAGUUUUUUGUUUCAGCUUAUUCUGAUGACUUGUCAUCUUCAAAUAAUGAAACAAAAGCAGAACAUCCUCGUGGCAGCAAGGGAAAAAUAGUGAUUGUAAUUUUGGUGCUAGUAGCAGCUGCUCUCGUAUCAUUUCUACUUUUCAAAUUUUGGCAAAGAAAGAAACGUGAAGAACAGUAUGCUCGUUUACUCAAGUUGUUUGAGGAGGAUGAUGAGUUAGAGCUUGAGCUUGGUCUUCGGGAUUGAGGGUGUUUUGCUUUUGUAUUUUUAUGUUUAUCGAGUGAAGAUUCACGAGGGGCGUGCUGGAUAUCGUGGGGAACGCAAACAAGACUUAUAGUAAGAUACGGAUACCCCCUCUCAUUUGUAUGAGAAAGACUGGGGCAGAAGUUGGAGGUAUUCUUUCUGUAGACUGUUUAUACAUAUGAUGAUAUACUUUGUGCAUAAUCUAUAACUAGAGUAUAUAUGUUGAAACUCUUAUUCUUGUGGAAAGCCUAGUCUUUGCGAUUGUGCUGUUGUAUCAGUAGGCUAUCCUUGCCCUUAUGUAAAGAGAGGUUAUGGCUCCAAAUUUCAUAUUUAUUCUUAAAAAUCACAUCUAUGCCAUUUGCAAUUAUAACU